GUAAUUUCGGAGAGAGCGGCAGCUAAUGGAUUGCGGAACAGGGAAGAAAGAGAAAAGACUAGAAUGUUUGUCUGCACUAAGGGACCCACCCCAGCAGGGACAAAACUCGGGGUGCCGUGGGAAUUCUAUAAAGAGCCUAAUGAUUCUCAAAUAUGGAUUCUGUGGAGAUAUAGCAGGCGAUGUUUUCAUACUUGGUCACCUUGGGGUGAUUCAUGUUUGCCAGUGGCGAGAAGGUAUCCCUCGCUUAAGGUCAGCGUGGUCUUUUCAGGAAAACUCUGGGAAAGUGUGUUUAGUACUCUUGGGCAAGACAAACCUCUUUCCUACCACUUCCAUUGACUUCACGUUCUGUUCCUUUGCUCACGGCUUAUAAAUCAUUAAUAAACCCAAGGACGCAACAGAAAAGAGAAUGUGU
rnacentral:lncRNA from 1 species